rnacentral:rRNA from 1 species
GAGUUUGAUCAUGGCUCAGGAUGAACGCUAGCGGCAGGCCUAAUACAUGCAAGUCGAACGGCAGCACGGUGUAGCAAUACAUUGGUGGCGAGUGGCGCACGGGUGCAUAACACGUAUGUAAUUUGCCCAUAACUGGGAGAUAGCCUUCCGAAAGGAAGAUUAAUACCCCAUAACCCAGCGAGGUGGCAUCACUUUUCUGGUAAAGCUCCGGCGGUUAUGGAUAAGCAUGCGUCCGAUUAGCUAGUUGGCGAGGUAAAAGCUCACCAAGGCAACGAUCGGUAGGGGGUCUGAGAGGAUGAUCCCCCACACGGGUACUGAGACACGGACCCGACUCCUACGGGAGGCAGCAGUAAGGAAUAUUGGACAAUGGAGGCAACUCUGAUCCAGCCAUGCCGCGUGAAGGAUGAAGGCGCUACGCGUUGUAAACUUCUUUUCUACUAGAAAAAACAUUGGUUUCGUACCGAAUCUGAUUGUACAGUAGGAAUAAGCAUCGGCUAACUUCGUG